rnacentral:tmRNA from 1 species
GGGAGUGACAGGCUUAGACAAUACAUAUAUUCGCAUUACAUGCGGGAGAGCAGUGGAGAUCUGCUAUAAAAAACUUCAAACCAUAACUGCAAAAUCAGUUACGUCACCGUAUUUCUCGGUGAAUGAUCUUUCGUUCGCCACUGCGCGCGCCUAAGGUCACGUCUGCCCCAGCGAGCCCGGCUCUGGGUGCGGGUGUUAUAUAACGGGCUAUGACUACAGAGUCUGUCUUGCUCUGUAGUUGAGACUAAGAGGCUGCGACUCAAUCCUAUUUUGUCUACUUUCUACAAUUGAGCCUAAGAAAUUAAAGUAGUCUACCUCUCGUAGAUAUGUUUUGAGUUUUUGUGUUGCACGGCGGUUCAACUCCGCCCACUUCCACCA